GUGUGAUUCUUCCCUGAUAUCAGAAAGGCUUACGGGCAUCGCAGGUCGUAUGGAAAACCUCUCCAAGAAUUAGGUUUUGUUUGGGCAUGAUAAAAAUCUAACAAUUUUGGUGUCAGAAGUGGGAUACUUUCAGCAAUAUCCGAAGGGAGAUCAAGCAUCAAGGUAAGUUUUAGGAUAUUUCCAAAAGGGCUGCAUGUGUGUUCGUGUCUUGGUUAUGCAUUAAUUGUUUAAUUAAUGAUAAUUUCCUUUGGUGGGAUGAUUUCUUCGCGACAUUGUUUUCCUCACCUUAGAUGUAAGAUGCAAGAUUAGAAGACAUUUUUUACAGUCUGUCUAAUAUAGGCGAUAUUGUCUGAAGUAUCCAAAAGAUUCCACGAUAAUUUUUAUAUGCCCAAAAAAAAUAGAUAAAAUGAAAAAUUAAUUGUUUAAAAAAAAGGAGAGAAAAGAGAAAAGGAACUAAAGAAAAACGGAAAUUUUGAAAACACUUCAAAAUUUUUCAAAAGAAUUCAAUCUUGUUUAGGCUUUAUAGUCAAUUUUUUUCUCCUAACUUACAAAAUUUGUGAUUCAAUUGGAAAAACUGGAUUACUUUUUUGUUUGAAGACUGCGAUAGUGUUGUGUGUAUUGUCUGUGUCUUUUCCUUCUGUCCUCAUGCUCUCAACCGAGCCACAGCCACAUCCGGAAGAUUUUUUCCACGGUGGUACAGAGGUCCUGCCUAAUGAACCAAAUUUAGGUGACGUUAACCCUAAAUUAUGGGCCUCUCACGAAGAUGAGGCAGGUUUAAUCCAGUGUCCCUUUGGCCUCAGAGACGCAGCCGCUUUUCAUGUUUACCUUUAGGGGAUGUCAAUUCACCUGGACCCGUCUUCCUCAGGGCUUUGUUGACUCUCCAGCCAUAUUCUCCGCUGUAGUGCACAGAAGUUUGGCUGAUUUACACCUUCCAGAAACAACCUGCAUUCUUCAAUAUGCAGAUGACAUCCUUGUCACAGGACUGACUGAGCAGGACUGCCACAAAGCGUCAGUGGUCUUCUGCAAUGUCCUGGCUCAGGCUGGAUUUGCGUGCAGUAGCUGCUGCGGCUUUGAUGGGAUGCUGAGAAAACGGUGCUGUCACAUCCUUUGAUACUGAACACCUCACAUCAGAUAAGCCAACACACCCUUUUGUGCCUAAUCAGCAGGUCCUGAUACGAAGUUUGAAGCCUACCA